rnacentral:rRNA from 1 species
AGAUUGAACGCUGGCGGCAGGCCUAACACAUGCAAGUCGAGCGGCAGCACGGGUACUUGUACCUGGUGGCGAGCGGCGGACGGGUGAGUAAUGCCUAGGAAUCUGCCUGGUAGUGGGGGAUAACGCUCGGAAACGGACGCUAAUACCGCAUACGUCCUACGGGAGAAAGCAGGGGACCUUCGGGCCUUGCGCUAUCAGAUGAGCCUAGGUCGGAUUAGCUAGUUGGUGAGGUAAUGGCUCACCAAGGCGACGAUCCGUAACUGGUCUGAGAGGAUGAUCAGUCACACUGGAACUGAGACACGGUCCAGACUCCUACGGGAGGCAGCAGUGGGAAUAUUGGACAAUGGGCGAAAGCCUGAUCCAGCCAUGCCGCGUGUGUGAAGAAGGUCUUCGGAUUGAAAGCACUUUAAGUGGAGAAGGCAGUUACCUAAUACGUAUCUGUUUGACGUUACGACAGAAUAGCACCGGCUAACUCUG